rnacentral:rRNA from 1 species
GACGAACGCUGGCGGCGUGCCUAAUACAUGCAAGUCGAACGCGAGAGGAGGGAGCUUGCUCCCUCUGAUCGGGUGGCGGACGGGUGAGUAACACGUAGGCAACCUGCCCAUCAGCCGGGGAUAACUGCGGGAAACCGUGGCUAAUACCGGAUAAUCCUCUCCACCGCGGGGUGGGGAGUUGAAAGACGGUUUCGGCUGUCGCUGAUGGAUGGGCCUUGGGCGCAUUAGCUGGUUGGCGGGGUAACGGCCCACCAAGGAAACGAUGCGUAGCCGACCUGGGAGGGUGAUCGGCCACACUGGGACUGAGACACGGCCCAGACUCCUACGGGAGGCAGCAGUGGGGAAUAUUGCACAAUGGGCGCAAGCCUGAUGCAGCAACGCCGCGUGAGGGAUGACGGCCUUCGGGUUGUAAACCUCUUUGAGUAGGGAAGAAGCGAAAGUGACGGUACCUGCGGAAAAAGCACCGGCUAACUACGUGCCAGCCGCCGCAGUAA